UACGUAGGGGGCAAGCGUUGUCCGGAAUCAUUGGGCGUAAAGAGCGUGUAGGCGGCCACGCAGGUCCGUUGUGAAAACUGGAGGCUCAACCUUCAGACGUCGACGGAAACCGUGUGGCUAGAGUCCGGAAGAGGAGAGUGGAAUUCCUGGUGUAGCGGUGAAAUGCGCAGAUAUCAGGAAGAACACCAAUGGCGAAGGCAGCUCUCUGGGACGGUACUGACGCUGAGACGCGAAAGCGUGGGGAGCGAACAGG
rnacentral:rRNA from 1 species